rnacentral:ncRNA from 1 species
UGAAAUACAAUGAAGAAGAGAAGUAAGCAUUAAAACUUUGAGAGAUUGGGAUUCUAGGCUGAAAUAUCCCAUAAGUCAAUUGAUGCUGAAGGUAGCUUUGGAGUAGAUAAUCUGAGCUUAGUAAGAUUAUCCGGCCAUGCCGUUAGAGAAUCAAGAGCCAAUUGGAAUUAAGGUGGUACCGCGGGUUUUCUCGUCCUUUAG